rnacentral:misc_RNA from 1 species
GAUGAAGAACGUAGCGAAAUGCGAUAAGUAAUGUGAAUUGCAGAAUUCAGUGAAUCAUCGAAUCUUGAACGCACAUUGCGCCCGCCAGCAUUCUGGCGGGCAUGCCUGUUCGAGCGUCAUUUCAACCCUCGAGCCCCCCCGGGGGCCUCGGUGUUGGGGGACGGCACACCAGCCGCCCCCGAAAUGCAGUGGCGACCCCGCCGCAGCCUCCCCUGCGUAGUAGCACACACCUCGCACCGGAGCGCGGAGGCGGUCACGCCGUAAAACGCCCAACUUUCUUAGAGUUGACCUCGGAUCAGGUAGGAAUACCCGCUGAACUUAAGCAUAUCAAUAAGCGGAGGA